rnacentral:rRNA from 1 species
AUGAACGCUGGCGGCGUGCCUAAUCCCUGCAAGUCGAGCGCACAGACGAGGAGCUUGCUCCUCUGGCGUUAGCGGCGGACGGGUGAGUAACACGUGGAUAACCUACCUAUAAGACUGGGAUAACUUCGGGAAACCGGAGCUAAUACCGGAUAAUAUAUUGAACCGCAUGGUUCAAUAGUGAAAGACGGUUUUGCUGUCACUUAUAGAUGGAUCCGCGCCGCAUUAGCUAGUUGGUAAGGUAACGGCUUACCAAGGCAACGAUGCGUAGCCGACCUGAGAGGGUGAUCGGCCACACUGGAACUGAGACACGGUCCAGACUCCUACGGGAGGCAGCAGUAGGGAAUCUUCCGCAAUGGGCGAAAGCCUGACGGAGCAACGCCGCGUGAGUGAUGAAGGUCUUCGGAUCGUAAAACUCUGUUAUUAGGGAAGAACAAAUGUGUAAGUAACUAUGCACGUCUUGACGGUACCUAAUCAGAAAGCCACGGCUAACUACGUG